rnacentral:rRNA from 1 species
UACAGAGGUGGCAAGCGUUGUUCGGAAUUACUGGGCGUAAAGGGCGCGUAGGCGGCCUUCUAAGUCAGACGUGAAAUCCCCCGGCUUAACCUGGGAACUGCGUCUGGGACUGGGUGGCUAGAGAUCGGGAGAGGAGAGUGGAAUUCCCAGUGUAGAGGUGAAAUUCGUAGAUAUUGGGAAGAACACCGGUGGCGAAGGCGGCUCUCUGGGCCGAUACUGACGCUGAGGAGCGAAAGCGUGGGGAGCGAACAGG